GCCUCUGUGGUGGAAUGGUAGACACAGUAGACUCAAAAUCUACAGCCCCAAAGGCGUGCUGGUUCAAGUCCGGCCAGAGGUACCA
rnacentral:tRNA from 3 species